UUUAUACUCCCUCCGUCCGAAAAUACUUGUCCUAAAAAUGCAUAUAAUGGAUGUAUCUAUAAUUAAAAUAAGUCUGGAUACAUUCAUUUCUAUGACAAGUAUUUCCGGACGGAGGUAGU
rnacentral:pre_miRNA from 1 species